rnacentral:lncRNA from 1 species
AUCUCUGUCCUAUUCAUUAUUUAAUUCACCUCCCGCUUUACACAUUUAUGCCUAAGGAUUGACUAGCUUUUGUUAUCCAUGUCCUUGUUUACCUAUCUGGGUUGGAUUAUUAUUGUUUAGCUUUAUGCUAAUGCUCAAACUCUAAUCAAUGAACAUGAUGAGAUUAUCUAUGAUACGCUGUUUUCCCCUUUCCUAUGAUGAUGUUAUACUUGUGGUCUUCAAGGGGCUCGAGCGGUUUCUCGAGUGCCUCUCCGUAAGGACCUGUUCUAUGGAUGACCGCCCGGGAAAACAGUGCAACCAUGAGGGUGGAAUGGGAUGCCCUUAGCUGAAUAAUUAGAGGAUCCGGGGUGUAGUUCACUUAGCCGUCGUGCCGUCAAUGGGGCUCGGUGUAUGCGGCUCGGUCUGCCAAGUUUGGGUUCGCCCCUUGGGGAGGAGUGCGGUGCAUUUAGGAAACCUAACGGGUGGCUACAGUCCCGGAGAAUCUUUGUAAAGGCUACGUAGUGAUGCCCUGCUAGGCCACCUAGGUAGUGGUCAAUGGGGAGUAGCUCUCUCCGGGCAGAAUGGGAAUCACGGCUUGUGGGUAAAGUGCACAACCUCUGCAGAGUGUUUGAAAACUGAUAUAUCAGUCGUGCUCACGGUUAUGAGCGGCCAAGGGAGCUCCAGUGAUUAGUGAUACUUGAUCAGAGAUACUUUGGUACAGGUGGUUAUGAGAUCGAUGGUUCUGGUUAUGACUAUGGUGCUGGUAAGUGGUACUCUUUCCGUUUGGAAGGGAGUACGUUUGGGUUAAUAACUUGGGUUAAUGCUAAAACUUGGCUUUCUACUAGUAAGUAAUAAUCUGACCAACUAAAAGCAACUGCUUGACUUAUCCCCACAUAAAGCUAGUCCACUACAGCCAAACAGGAUACUUGCUGAGUAUGUUGAUGUGUACUCACCCUUGCUCUACACACCAAACCCCCCCCCUCCCCAGGUUGUCAGCAUUGCAGCCACUGCUCAGGCGAAGAUGAAGCUGUGGAAGGAGAUUUCCAGGAGUUCCAAGACUACGACGAGUUCUAGGUGUGGGUUAGCGGCAACCCCCAGUCGGCUGCCUGUGAAGGCCGCGGUUAUCUACGUUUCUUUUCCGCACUUUGAUUAAUUGUAAGGACUAUAUGGACGUCUCAGACGUAUGAUGUAAUCGACUAUUUCCCUUCUUAAUACUAUUCUGAGCACUAUGUGAUGAUGUCCAUGUUAUGUAACUGCUGUGUACGUGAAUAACUGAUCCUGGCACGUACAUGGUUCGCAUUCGGUUUGCCUUCUAAAACCGGGUGUGACAUAAGUGGUAUCAAAGCCGUGCUGACUGUAGGACUGCUAACCUAGAGUAGAAUGGUCGUUCUAAGGACUAUAGACCUCUGUCCCUACCUUGACUUUGAUAUCCCUUCAAAAGUUGGUCAUACCGACCAAACCUAUGUUCUACUAUAUAAUAUACCUUGCUGAAAAUUAUGUUUUAUUCCAAUCCUUCAUUUAUUUAUGGUUCAUUACUUGCUGGUCAUAUUAAUUCUGUUCUCACCCUUUUGCUUGCGAUGUCUUUUGUAGAUGGCUCGACUUAGACACACUGCACGAAAGUCAGUCAUCCCCUUCUUACCCUCCCGCCUUGCUGAGCGUCCGCUUCGCCGUCCCGUGGCUGGACAGUCCAGCCACUUGGAGAGACUGCACCACCGCCUGCGUGAGGAGCAGGAACGUCGACGACAGGAGCAGCAGGGCUCUUCUUUCUCGCUCCACCAGGAGAUAGAGUCUGUGAGGAGCUGCUCCCAUGUGCUUCCUCUGGAGGCGCCCCCUGCACCACCACCGGGCGUCCCAGCUUCUGGAGUAGCUGCUGGAGGAGACCCAGACGACGGAGAUGGCGACGACAGCUCGAGCCACGACACCGACUUCUCUGCUAACCCUGAGCCGUAAGGAUGGGUUGCUUGACCCAUCACUCGCGACGCUGCUCGCGGGUGUCACUUCCAUGAUGCGCUCGACACCCUGCUACGUCGGGCAUUUAACCGGCAUACUUGGUCCAUCGAGUAUCGCUGUGUGGUCUACCAGCACAGUCGCGGGGUCUACCCGGACCGCUGGGAGGCAACCUGCUUGGUGCGCUGCCCGGAGAACAGUCUCCAGGGUGCGGAGGCCUGCUCAGAGCACUAUUCUAUCUCUGAGCGGGACUCAGCUGAGGCAGCCAUGCAAGAUGCUGCACGGCGUGCGCUUUCGCACUACUGCUCGGUUUUUGGUGGGGCAGCUGACGGUCUUGACCUGAAGUACUACCCCCGCCGUCCAUCUGGCAGCACAGGAGGCGUGAUUGCCUCACCUGUCGGUGAGGGCAAUCCUAGGUUGAGCAGCACAGUCAACCUAGCCGCCAUGCUAAACACGGAGCUGGACCAUGCAUUAGACGAGCUGAGUAGGGCUCGUGCUGAGAUCGCCCUGCUGCGGGCUGAGCGCGCGGAACGUCGUCACCUGGAUGGUGGUUCCCCCGCUCCCGUCGGGACUCAGCACCCGUACCGCUCACCUCAGCGUGGACACCAGUCUUAUGGCAAUCCCGACUGCAAGACCAAGAUAACUCUAGAACCAUAGAUCGUUAGAGUUGGAUCUUGUAAUUAAUACGAAAUAUAUAUACAUAGAAGCUACAGUCUUAGCAUUAGUCUCGGUCUUAGUUAGUCUUAGUUAGACAGGGUAGUUUGCUAUAUCCUGUGCAUCUAUGUUUGUCAUGAUGAACUAUGGUUGGUUUGGAUCUUUGUAAUGACUGUCACCAGAGUGUGGGUGUCCCCUGCAUUUUGGUUUACCUAUUAUGUUAAUGGAGUUAGUUAUAUAGUUGGGAAACCUUUUAUUCCACUUUCCUCUUUAUCUGAGAAGCUGUGUGGUCUAUGUUGGAGAUCAGUGAAGAUGCUCAUCUGUUUAGUGCUGUUGAAGAAUUCUAUUCUCUUUUCUUAUGCUGCAAGAUUUGCCAGAUCAGUUCUGAUGUGUGGUUGCAUUCUGCAGAUGUCAGAGAACAGGCGCAGAGGAGGAAGGCGUGCUCAGCAGGAGCGAGCCGCUCAACAGGAGGAGGUGCCCCAGUAGCAGCACCUGCCGCUCCCGCCCCCGAUGUCCAUCGAGCAGAUGUUUCUGAUGCAGACUCGGGCAGUUCAAGCCAUCGGUCAGACUUUGGCCGCCAUUCAGCAGCAGCAGCAACAACAGCAGCAGGCCCCACCUCAGCCUCAGAUGCCUCAGAUGCCCAGAGACAAGCGUGCUGAAUUCAAGAGAGGUCAUCCACCAACGUUCGCUCAUUCUUCUGACCCCAUGGAUGUUGAAGACUGGCUGCGCACUGUGGAGCGGGAGUUGCAUACCGCUCAGUGCGAUGACAGGGAGAAGGUUCUGUACGGUCCCCGUCUGUUGAGAGGAGCAGCCCAAUCAUGGUGGGAGUCUUACCUCGCCACCCAUGCCCACCCUGACGCCAUCACUUGGGAAGAGUUCAGAGGUAGCUUUCGUCAGUACCAUGUCCCCGCAGGUCUGAUGACUGUGAAGAAGGAGGAGUUCCUGGCUCUCAAGCAAGGGCCAUUGUCUGUCAGUGAGUACCGGGACAGGUUCCUGCAAUUGUCUCGCUAUGCUCCUGAAGAUGUCAACACCGACGCCAAGCGGCAGUACCGUUUCCUGAGAGGCUUGGUUGACCCUCUAUAGUACCAACUGAUGAAUCACACCUUCCCGACAUUUCAGCACCUGAUUGACAGAGCAAUCAUGACAGAGAGGAAGCGUAAGGAGAUGGAGGAUCGUAAGCGCAAUAUCAGUGGACCCCAGCCUGGAAGCAGCAAUCGUCCUCGUUUCUCAGGCAAUCAACCUCAGCAGUUCAGGCAGAACCAACGUCCACCUCAGCAGCAUCAGCAGUUCCAAAGGCAGUAUCCUCAGCAUCAGUAUCAGAACCGUCAGAGCAAUCAGUCAGGAGGUCAGUUUCAGAGGCAGAAUCAGCAGGCACCUCAUCUUCCUGCCCCAGCAACCCAGCAGAACAGUCAAGGAGCACCAGCUCAGGUUGGAAACAGAGCAUGUUUCCACUGUGGAGAGCAAGGCCAUUGGGUGAUGCAAUGUCCGAAGAAGGCAGCCCAGCAGCAGUCAGGCCCCAGUGCCCCAGCGAAGCAGAAUGUGCCUCAGCCUGGAGCAGGCAAUCACCCUCAGCCGCGCUAUAAUCAUGGAAGACUGAACCACUUGGAGGCUGAAGCAGUUCAGGAGACCCCCGGCAUGAUAGUAGGUAUGUUCCCAGUCGACUCCCAUAUUGCAGAAGUGUUAUUUGAUACUGGAGCAACGCAUUCUUUCAUCACUGCAUCAUGGGUAGAAGCACAUAGUCUUCCAAUUACUACCAUGUCAACCCCCAUUCAAAUUGACUCAGCCGGUGGUAGAAUUCGAGCCGAUAGCAUUUGUUUGAGUAUAAGUGUGGAAAUAAGGGGGAUAGCGUUUCCCGCCAACCUUAUAGUAAUGGGUACUCAGGGAAUAGAUGUCAUCCUAGGGAUGAAUUGGCUAGAUAAGUAUCAGGCAGUUAUCAGUUGUGAUAAAAGGACAAUCAAGUUGGUGUCCCCACUAGGAGAGGAAGUGGUGACCGAGUUAGUCCCGCCUGAGCCAAAGAAAGGAAGUUGUUAUCAGCUGGCUGUCGAUAGCAGUGAAGCAGACCCAAUUGAGAGGAUCAAGGUUGUGUCCGAGUUCCCAGAUGUGUUUCCAAAGGACUUACCGGGUAUGCCACCAGAGCGAAAAGUUGAGUUUGCUAUAGAGCUUCUUCCCGGAACCGCCCCUAUCUUCAAGAGAGCUUACAGAAUAUCUGGACCAGAGUUGGUUGAACUUAAGAAGCAAAUUGAUGAGCUGUCAGAGAAAGGUUACAUUCGGCCAAGCACCUCGCCUUGGGCCGCCCCUGUCCUAUUUGUGGAGAAGAAAGAUGGCACCAAGAGGAUGUGUAUCGAUUAUCGAGCUUUGAAUGAAGUCACGAUCAAGAACAAGUAUCCUUUGCCCAGGAUAGAAGAUCUGUUCGACCAGUUGAGAGGAGCCAGUGUGUUCUCCAAGAUUGAUCUGAGGUCAGGUUAUCAUCAGCUCAGGAUCCGACCUUCGGACAUUCCGAAGACGGCAUUCAUUUCCAAGUAUGGUUUGUAUGAGUUCACAGUGAUGUCUUUUGGUUUGACCAAUGCGCCAGCAUUCUUCAUGAACUUGAUGAACAGUGUAUUCAUGGACUACCUUGAUAAGUUUGUGGUGGUAUUCAUUGAUGACAUUCUGAUUUAUUCGCAAAGCGAAGAAGAGCAUGCAGAUCAUUUGAGGAUGGUAUUGCAGAGAUUGCGAGAGCACCAGUUGUAUGCAAAGUUGAGCAAGUGUGAGUUCUGGAUCAGUGAGAUCCGGCGACUGAUUCUAGAUGGCAGAGGCAAAGAUUUUCGAGAAGAUGCAGAAGGCGUGAUAUGGUUCAAAGACCGCUUGUGUGUUCCCAAUGUCCAGUCCAUUCGGGAGUUGAUUCUCAAGGAAGCUCAUGAGACGUCCUAUUCGAUUCACCCUGGCAGUGAGAAGAUGUAUCAGGAUCUGAAGAAGAAAUUCUGGUGGUACAGAAUGAAGAGGGAAAUCGCAGAGCAUGUGGCUAUGUGCGAUAGUUGCCGAAGGAUCAAGGCAGAGCACCAGAGACCUGCCGGAUUGUUGCAACCGUUGCAGAUCCCUCAGUGGAAAUGGGAUGAAAUCGGUAUGGAUUUCAUAGUCGGAUUGCCUUGCACUCGAGCCGGCUACGAUUCUAUUUGGGUAGUAGUGGACCGCUUGACCAAGUCAGCCCACUUCAUACCUGUCAAGACCAACUACAACAGUGCAGUAUUGGCAGAAUUAUAUAUGUCUCGGAUCGUUUGUCUUCAUGGUGUGCCAAAGAAGAUAGUGUCAGACAGAGGAACGCAGUUCACCUCUCAUUUCUGGCAACAGUUGCAUGAAGCUUUGGGCACGCAUCUGAAUUUCAGUUCAGCUUAUCAUCCGCAGACAGAUGGCCAGACCGAAAGGACCAAUCAAAUUCUUGAAGAUAUGUUGAGAGCCUGUGCGUUGCAAGAUCAGUCCGGAUGGGAUAAGAGAUUGCCUUAUGCAGAGUUUUCCUAUAACAACAGUUACCAGGCCAGUUUGAAGAUGUCACCAGUUCAGGCGCUUUAUGGAAGGAGUUGUAGAACUCCGUUGCAAUGGGAUCAGCCUGGAGAAAAGCAAGUAUUUGGGCCAGACAUUUUGCUUGAAGCCGAAGAGAACAUCAAGAUGGUCCGAGAGAAUCUGAAGAUAGCGCAAUCGAGGCAGCGAAGCUAUGCAGACACAAGAAGAAGAGAGCUGAGUUUCGAAGUCGGAGACUUUGUCUAUCUGAAAGUGUCACCGAUCAGAGGAGUCAGAAGAUUCGGAGUGAAAGGCAAGCUAGCACCCCGCUACAUUGGUCCGUAUCAGAUUCUUGCAAGACGUGGAGAAGUGGCCUAUCAGCUCAGUUUGCCCGAGAAUUUGUCUGCUGUGCAUGAUGUCUUUCAUGUGUCUCAGUUGAGGAAGUGCUUGCGUGUGCCAGAAGAGCAGUUGCCAGUGGAAGGUCUUGAGGUCCAGGAGGACUUGACCUACGUUGAGAAGCCAGUGCAAAUCCUUGAGGUUGCAGACAGAGUCACCCGAAGGAAGACCAUCAGAAUGUGCAAGGUCAAAUGGAAUCACCAUUCAGAGGAAGAAGCAACCUGGGAGCGUGAAGACGAUCUGAUGGCUAAAUACCCUGAGCUCUUUGCUAGCCAACCCUGAAUCUCGAGGGCGAGAUUCUUUUAAGGGGGAUAGGUUUGUAAUGCCCUGAAUUUGGGGGUAGAAUUUUUUCUUCUUUUCUCUCACCAAAUUCAGGCGUUACCCUUUUCUUUUCUCGUUCCCUCGCUAAACCUUGACCUUUUCCAAAGUUAUAGCGGGACUUGGUUUGGAUUUCCCGUGUAAAGAAAAACCCUAAAUUACCUUAUGUUGUUUGAUGCACCAUGCCGAACCAUGCAUUCUUCGAUUGCUUAGAAAUGUAAGUGCAUUCAUCUAGGAAGAUCGGAUUUCGAAAAGGAGAAAAACCCUUUUCUCCCUUUUCUUUCUUUUUCUUUUUCUUUCUCUCUCUCCUCCUUUUUCUCUCUCCCGCGCCGUGGGCCGCCCCGGCCGGCCCAGCCGCCCCCGCGCGCCCUGCCCCGCCCCUUGGCCGGCUCGGCCGCCCCUGCGCCCCCCUGCCCCGCGCCCCGCGCCCCCCGCCAGCUCGGCCGCCCCCGCCCCUGCCCCAGGCCGGUUCAACCGCCCCCUGGCCGGUUCAACCGCCCCCCUUUUUUAUUUUUAUUUUAUUUUAUUUUAUUUUAUUUCAUUACUGUUAUUUAUGUUAUUUUAGGCAGGUUAAUCAUUGUUCAUAUUAUUGAAAUAGGAAACUUAAUUUAGAAUUCCGUUACACUAGUUAGUUCAUAUAAUUAAUUGUUUAUCCAGUCCAAUGUUGAUCAACUAAAAAUGACUAGGUUUCCAUUAGUGCAUAUGACUAAAUUCUUUUGUUAGAACCAAUUGUAACUAAUCAUUAGUGCAUAAGCUUUAAACCCCCCGCGAGACCUUUUCCCGUUUCUUUCUAACCAUAAUGAAUGCGAUAUCGAAUGUCAUACUUGAUGCAUAUUCACUUUAUUUGUUCCCUUGUAUGAUGUACUGUUUGUUUCCCAAUUUGAAUGGAUGAAUGUAUGUAUGCUUGCAAUCGCAUAGAGAACGAUCCGGUUGAAGAGCCCGAGGAACUCGCAGGAGAAGCCCCUGAGCAGCAGUCAGUUGGUGGAGGCAAGUGUCCCUUGACCUAUCUCUGUCCUAUUCAUUAUUUAAUUCACCUCCCGCUUUACACAUUUAUGCCUAAGGAUUGACUAGCUUUUGUUAUCCAUGUCCUUGUUUACCUAUCUGGGUUGGAUUAUUAUUGUUUAGCUUUAUGCUAAUGCUCAAACUCUAAUCAAUGAACAUGAUGAGAUUAUCUAUGAUACGCUGUUUCCCCUUUCCUAUGAUGAUGUUAUACUUGUGGUCUUCAAGGGGGCUCGAGCGGUUUCUCGAGUGCCUCUCCGUAAGGACCUGUUCUAUGGAUGACCGCCCGGGAAAACAGUGCAACCAUGAGGGUGGAAUGGGAUGCCCUUAGCUGAAUAAUUAGAGGAUCCGGGGUGUAGUUCACUUAGCCGUCGUGCCGUCAAUGGGGCUCGGUGUAUGCGGCUCGCUCUGCCAAGUUUGGGUUCGCCCCUUGGGGAGGAGUGCGGUGCAUUUAGGAAACCUAACGGGUGGCUACAGUCCCGGAGAAUCUUUGUAAAGGCUACGUAGUGAUGCCCUGCUAGGCCACCUAGGUAGUGGUCAAUGGGGAGUAGCUCUCUCCGGGCAGAAUGGGAAUCACGGCUUGUGGGUAAAGUGCACAACCUCUGUAGAGUGUUUGAAAACUGAUAUAUCAGCCGUGCUCACGGUUAUGAGCGGCCAAGGGAGCUCCAGUGAUUAGUGAUACUUGAUCAGAGAUACUUUGGUACAGGUGGUUAUGAGAUCGAUGGUUCUGGUUAUGACUAUGGUGCUGGUAAGUGGUACUCUUUCCGUUUGGAAGGGAGUACGUUUGGGUUAAUAACUUGGGUUAAUGCUAAAACUUGGCUUUCUACUAGUAAGUAAUAAUCUGACCAACUAAAAGCAACUGCUUGACUUAUCCCCACAUAAAGCUAGUCCACUACAGCCAAACAGGAUACUUGCUGAGUAUGUUGAUGUGUACUCACCCUUGCUCUACACACCAAACCCCCCCCCUCCCCAGGUUGUCAGCAUUGCAACCACUGCUUAGGCGAAGAUGAAGUUGUGGAAGGAGAUUUCCAGGAGUUCCAAGACUACGACGAGUUCUAGGUGUGGGUUAGCGGCAACCCCCAGUCGGCUGCCUGUGAAGGCCGCGGUUAUCUACGUUUCUUUUCCGCACUUUGAUUAAUUGUA